rnacentral:misc_RNA from 1 species
GAUGAAGAACGUAGUGAAAUGCGAUAAGUAAUGUGAAUUGCAGAAUUCAGUGAAUCAUCGAAUCUUUGAACGCACCUUGCGCCCUUUGGCCAUUCCGAAGGGCAUGCCUGUUUGAGUAUCAUGAACACCUCAACUCUUUAUGGUUUUCCAUGAUGAGCUUGGACUUUGGGGGUUUUGCUGGCCUAUGGUCGGCUCCUCUAAAAUAAAUCAGCUUACCGGUGUUUGGUGGGUAUCAUGGGUGUGAUAACUAUCUACGCUUGUGGUUUUUCCACCAGGUAACCUUCGACAGCGGAGGUUCACUGGAGCUCAUAGAUGUCUCUCCUCAGCGAGGACAGCCCUUUGAAUGUUUGAUCUCAAAUCAGGUAGGACUACCCGCUGAACUUAAGCAUAUCAAUAGCGGAGGA